ACGAACGCUGGCGGCGUGCUUAACACAUGCAAGUCGAACGGGCUGAAGUGGUAGCUUGCUAUUAUGGAUGCUAGUGGCAAACGGGUGAGUAACGCGUAGGCAACCUGCCCUUCAGAUGGAGACAACACUUCGAAAAGGGGUGCUAAUACCGAAUGAUGUAUCCAUUCCGCAUGGAGAGGAUACCAAAAGGCCGGGCAACCGGUCACUGAAGGAUGGGCCUGCGUCUGAUUAGCUAGUUGGUGGGGUAACGGCUCACCAAGGCGACGAUCAGUAGCCGGUCUGAGAGGAUGAACGGCCACAUUGGGACUGAGACACGGCCCAAACUCCUACGGGAGGCAGCAGUGGGGAAUCUUCCGCAAUGGGCGCAAGCCUGACGGAGCAACGCCGCGUGAGUGAAGAAGGUUUUCGGAUCGUAAAGCUCUGUUGAGAGGGACGAGAGGCAAGGCUAGGAAAUGAGCUUUGUAGGACGGUACCUUUCGAGGAAGCCACGGCUAACUACGUG
rnacentral:rRNA from 1 species